rnacentral:rRNA from 1 species
CCCCUAGAUGUUCUGGGCCGCACGCGCGCUACACUGAACAGUUCAACAAGUCUUAACCUUGGCCGAUAGGUCUGGAUAAUCUUUGAACGCUGUUCGUGAUUGGGAUAGACCUUUGCAAUUAUGGGUCUUCAACGAGGAAUUCCUAGUAAACGCAAGUCAUCAGCUUGCAUUGAUUACGUCCCUGCCCUUUGUACACACCGCCCGUCGCACCUACCGAUUGAAUGGUCCGGUGAAAUCUCGGGACGGCGGCUUGGUCGCUUGCGUCCGACUGCUGAAACUUGAUUAAACCAUAUCAUUUAGAGGAAGGUGAAGUCGUAACA